UACGUAGGUGGCAAGCGUUAUCCGGAUUUAUUGGGCGUAAAGGGAACACAGGCGGUCUUUUAAGUCUGAUGUGAAAGCCUUCGGCUUAACCGGAGUAGUGCAUUGGAAACUGGGAGACUUGAGUGCGGAAGAGGAGAGUGGAACUCCAUGUGUAGCGGUGAAAUGCGUAGAUAUAUGGAAGAACACCAGUGGCGAAAGCGGCUCUCUGGUCUGUAACUGACGCUGAGGUUCGAAAGCGUGGGUAGCAAACAGG
rnacentral:rRNA from 1 species